rnacentral:lncRNA from 1 species
GUAUAAAUAGAGGGGUUUGGGACUUGAAAUUCUGCGUUGGAACGACGUUAAAAUUCGUUUUACACUUCGAGAUAUCGUUCAAAUACUACCAAACACACACAUAAGCUCGAAUUCUGCUACGAUACAGGGUUAUCAUGCUUAUCAGUAGACUAAACACUACCCCAUACACGUACAAUCAAAGUAGAUGCUAAUUCUCAGAAGAAUCUGAAUCAUGAAGCUUGUUAAAUCAAUACUGCAUGCUUAUAAUGUAAUUACAGUAGAUUGGAGUAAGAGAUGGAUACGACACUGAAAGGCUUCAAGAAGUGGCUUAUUUUAUUAAUUAAAUCAACUUAAGAAAUAUUGUUUUAUGUAAUUGGGUUUAUCCCUUAUUAAAGCUACCUUUGUAAAA